rnacentral:sRNA from 1 species
CUAUCUUUUCCUUCUCUUUUUGUACUCUUUCCUUCGUU